GGCCGCCUAGUGUAGUGGUUAUCACACCUGCUUUACACGCAGUAGGUCGCCGGUUCGAUCCCGGCGGUGGUCA